AUUGAACGCUGGCGGCAGGCCUAACACAUGCAAGUCGGACGGUAGCACAGAGGAGCUUGCUCCUCGGGUGACGAGUGGCAGACGGGUGAGUAAUGUCUGGGGAUCUGCCCGAUAGAGGGGGAUAACCACUGGAAACGGUGGCUAAUACCGCAUAACGUCGCAAGACCAAAGAGGGGGACCUUCGGGCCUCUCACUAUCGGAUGAACCCAGAUGGGAUUAGCUAGUAGGCGGGGUAACGGCCCACCUAGGCGACGAUCCCUAGCUGGUCUGAGAGGAUGAACCGCCACACUGGAACUGAGACACGGUCCAGACUCCUACGGGAGGCAGCAGGGGGGAAUAUUGCACAAUGGGCGCAAGCCUGAUGCAGCCAUGCCGCGUGUAUGAAGAAGGCCUUCGGGUUGUAAAGUACUUUCAGCGGGGAGGAAGGCGAUAAGGUUAAUAACCUUGUCGAUUGACGUUACCUGCAGAAGAAGCACCGGCUAACUCCGUGCCAGCAGCCGCAGUAA
rnacentral:rRNA from 1 species